GCAGCGACGCCGCGUGAGGGAUGACGGCCUUCGGGUUGUAAACCUCUUUCAGUAGGGAAGAAGCGAGAGUGACGGUACCUGCAGAAGAAGCGCCGGCUAACUACGUGCCAGCAGCCGCGGUAAUACGUAGGGCGCAAGCGUUGUCCGGAAUUAUUGGGCGUAAAGAGCUCGUAGGCGGUUUGUCGCGUCUGCUGUGAAAGCCCGGGGCUCAACCCCGGGUCUGCAGUGGGUACGGGCAGACUAGAGUGCAGUAGGGGAGACUGGAAUUCCUGGUGUAGCGGUGAAAUGCGCAGAUAUCAGGAGGAACACCGAUGGCGAAGGCAGGUCUCUGGGCUGUUACUGACGCUGAGGAGCGAAAGCAUGGGGAGCGAACAGGAUUAGAUACCCUGGUAGUCCAUGCCGUAAACGUUGGGCACUAGGUGUGGGGGACAUUCCACGUUUUCCGCGCCGUAGCUAACGCAUUAAGUGCCCCGCCUGGGGAGUACGGCCGCAAGGCUAAAACUCAAAGGAAUUGACGGGGGCCCGCACAAGCGGCGGAGCAUGCGGAUUAAUUCGAUGCAACGCGAAGAACCUUACCAAGGCUUGACAUUCACCGGACCGCCCCAGAGAUG
rnacentral:rRNA from 1 species